rnacentral:rRNA from 1 species
CCUACGGGAGGCUGCAGUGGGGAAUAUUGCACAAUGGGGGAAACCCUGAUGCAGCGACGCCGCGUGAGCGAUGAAGUAUUUCGGUAUGUAAAGCUCUAUCAGCAGGGAAGAAAAUGGCGGUACCUGACUAAGAAGCACCGGCUAACUACGUGCCAGCAGCAGCGGUAAUACGUAGGGGGCAAGCGUUAUCCGGAUUUACUGGGUGUAAAGGGAGCGUAGACGGUCCUGCAAGCCAGAUGUGAAAGCCCGGGGCACAACCCCGGGACUGCAUUUGGAACUGUAAGGCUAGAGUGGCGGAGAGGCAGGCGGAAUUCCUAGUGUAGCGGUGAAAUGCGUAGAUAGUAGGAGGAACACCAGUGGCGAAGGCGGCCUGCUGGACGAUGACUGACGUUGAGGCUCGAAAGCGUGGGGAGCAAACAGGAUUAGAUACCCGUGUAGUC